rnacentral:rRNA from 1 species
GACGAACGCUGGCAGCGUGCUUAACACAUGCAAGUCGAACGGAAAGGCCCUGCCUUUGUGGGGUGCUCGAGUGGCGAACGGGUGAGUAACACGUGAGUAACCUGCCCUUGACUUUGGGAUAACUUCAGGAAACUGGGGCUAAUACCGGAUAGGAGCUCCUGCUGCAUGGUGGGGGUUGGAAAGUUUCGGCGGUUGGGGAUGGACUCGCGGCUUAUCAGCUUGUUGGUGGGGUAGUGGCUUACCAAGGCUUUGACGGGUAGCCGGCCUGAGAGGGUGACCGGCCACAUUGGGACUGAGAUACGGCCCAGACUCCUACGGGAGGCAGCAGUGGGGAAUAUUGCACAAUGGGCGGAAGCCUGAUGCAGCAACGCCGCGUGCGGGAUGACGGCCUUCGGGUUGUAAACCGCUUUCGCCUGUGACGAAGCGUGAGUGACGGUAAUGGGUAAAGAAGCACCGGCUAACUACGUG